rnacentral:rRNA from 1 species
CCUACGGGUGGCAGCAGUGAGGAAUAUUGGUCAAUGGACGCAAGUCUGAACCAGCCAUGCCGCGUGCAGGAAGACGGCUCUAUGAGUUGUAAACUGCUUUUGUACGAGGGUAAACUCAGAUACGCGUAUCUGUCUGCACGUAUCGUACGAAUAAGGGUCGGCUAACUCCGUGCCAGCAGCCGCGGUAAUACGGAGGAUUCAGGCGUUAUCCGGAUUUAUUGGGUUUAAAGGGUGCGUAGGCGGUCGGAUAAGUUAGAGGUGAAAUCCCGAGGCUCAACUUCGGAAUUGCCUCUGAUACUGUUCGGCUAGAGAGUAGUUGCGGUAGGCGGAAUGUAUGGUGUAGCGGUGAAAUGCUUAGAGAUCAUACAGAACACCGAUUGCGAAGGCAGCUUACCAAGCUACGUCUGACGUUGAGGCACGAAAGCGUGGGGAGCAAACAGGAUUAGAUACCCUAGUAGUC